UACGUAGGGUGCAAGCGUUUGUCCGGAAUUAUUGGGCGUAAAGAGCUCGUAGGCGGUUUGUUGCGUCGGCUGUGAAAUCCCGAGGCUCAACCUCGGGUCUGCAGUCGAUACGAGCAAACUAGAGUGUUGCAGGGGAGACUGGAAUUCCUGGUGUAGCGGUGAAAUGCGUAGAUAUCUGGAGGAACACCGGUGGCGAAGGCGGCAUCCUGGACCGAGAUUGACGCUGAGGCGCGAAAGCCAGGGGAGCAAACGGG
rnacentral:rRNA from 1 species